rnacentral:rRNA from 1 species
UACAGAGGGGGCGAGCGUUAUUCGGAAUUAUUGGGCGUAAAGGGCGCGUAGGCGGCUUUGCAAGUGACGGGUGAAAUCCCUCGGCUUAACCGAGGAACUGCCUGUCAGACUGGAAGGCUUGAGACCGGGAGAGGUGAGUGGAAUUCCCAGUGUAGCGGUGAAAUGCGUAGAUAUUGGGAGGAACACCAGUGGCGAAGGCGGCUCACUGGACCGGAACUGACGCUGAGGCGCGAAAGCGUGGGGAGCAAACAGG